rnacentral:snRNA from 1 species
GUGCUCACUUCGACAGCACAUAUACUAAAAUUGGGACGAUACAGAGAAGAUUAGCAUGGCCCCUGCACAAGGAUGACACACAAAUUCAGGAAGCAUUCCAUAUUUAA